GGGUGUGGGCGUAGCUGACUAGUAACUCAAGCCUGAUAAUCCAGUGCUGCGCUCUGAGCUCUGAGGGAAAGUCAGCUAAACUUUCUGAGAGCUUGCCUACGGGUCCUCACCGGAGAAAGCGAGGAUGGUGCCACGUUCACGUCAACUAGAGGGCCUGCCUAAUCCUCCUUUGCCAUACUGAGUUUGGAAAGGAUCAUCGGGUAAUUGUUUUAGAGGGGCUGCCCCUUCUCCCCACUACCACCCCACCCUCCAACCCCGCUCAGGGCAGCAGUGGCGCCAGCUCGGUGCAAAAAUGACGCGCACAGUCCAUGCAGCAAUGAUCCAGGAGGAUAUACUGAACACCAGCAGAACAGUUCCCGGACAGAUGGUCAUGAGGGUCUUCAUGACAAAGCGUGUGUUGAAGUUGAUCUUGUUGAGGGCGCCGAUGCUGC